rnacentral:rRNA from 1 species
UACGUAGGUGGCAAGCGUUGUCCGGAUUUACUGGGUGUAAAGGGCGUGCAGCCGGAGAGACAAGUCAGAUGUGAAAUCCACGGGCUCAACCCGUGAACUGCAUUUGAAUCUGUUUCCCUUGAGUGUCGGAGAGGUAAUCGGAAUUCCUUGUGUAGCGGUGAAAUGCGUAGAUAUAAGGAAGAACACCAGUGGCGAAGGCGGAUUACUGGACGAUAACUGACGGUGAGGCGCGAAAGCGUGGGGAGCAAACAGG